GACGAACGCUGGCGGCGUGCUUAACACAUGCAAGUAGAACGGUGAAGGUGGAGCUUGCUCCGCCGGAUCAGUGGCGAACGGGUGAGUAACACGUGGGCAACCUGCCCCAGACUUCGGGAUAACUCCUCGAAAGAGGCGCUAAUACCGGCUACGAGUUCUGCAGGCAUCUGCGGAAUUGGAAAGUUUUUCGGUCUGGGAUGGGCCCGCGGCCUAUCAGCUUGUUGGUGAGGUAACGGCUCACCAAGGCGACGACGGGUAGCCGGCCUGAGAGGGCGACCGGCCACACUGGGACUGAGACACGGCCCAGACUCCUACGGGAGGCAGCAGUGGGGAAUAUUGCACAAUGGGCGCAAGCCUGAUGCAGCAACGCCGCGUGAGGGAUGACGGCCUUCGGGUUGUAAACCUCUUUUAGCAGGGAAGAAGCGAAAGUGACGGUACCUGCAGAAAAAGCACCGGCUAACUACGUGCCAGCCGCCGCAGUAA
rnacentral:rRNA from 1 species